rnacentral:rRNA from 1 species
UGGGGAAUAUUGCACAAUGGGGGAAACCCUGAUGCAGCGACGCCGCGUGAACGAAGAAGGUAUUCGUAUCGUAAAGUUCUGUCCUAUGGGAAGAUAAUGACAGUACCAUAGAAGAAAGCUCCGGCUAAAUACGUGCCAGCAGCCGCGGUAAUACGUAUGGAGCGAGCGUUGUCCGGAAUUAUUGGGCGUAAAGGGUACGCAGGCGGUUUAAUAAGUCGAAUGUUAAAGAUCGGGGCUCAACCCCGCAAAGCAUUGGAAACUGAUAAACUUGAGUAGUGGAGAGGAAAGUGGCAUUCCUAGUGUAGUGGUGAAAUACGUAGAUAUUAGGAGGAGUACCAGUAGCGAAGGCGACUUUCUGGACACAAACUGACGCUGAGGUACGAAAGCGUGGGGAGCAAACAGG